AAGUCGUUCGGCGUUGAUGAUGACGAACGGAGGGCGCCUGUAAGGAUCCAAACCCUAGUGAGGUUGAUUAACCGGCAGCGAGGUGCGCCGGCGCGCUUUUCUUUUACGGAAGACGGCAAGGGCUCGUCGUCCGCCGCCUCCGGUGACUCAUCGACCGCCGGAGAAGCACGGGAAGCCGUGGUGGAGAUUCUGCGGCAGCGCGGAGGUUCCUAGAAGGACUCAGCUUAUAUCGCCUCUAAUUCGCGGAGAACUGGACGAGCACAGUCUACAGGGUUCUCCAAAUGGGGAGAUAGAUGAAGAGGGCGUCGAUCUGAAUACUUCUAGUUUUAGCAAGAAGGUGCAAUUUUUCAUCUGCUUUGCUCAUUGCUAGAUAUCUGUGAUCUGUCUAAGGAGAAGCUUCCUGAUCUAAUUGAUAAGGUUACGGUUCCUAAGUCUGAUAAAUUAACGAUGAGGACUUCAGACUACAAUCGAGCUUCACAGAAGAGGGAUGCCAAACCCUUUUUGGAAAGGUCGGCGCCAACGAGAGUACAUGGAUGUUGAUAAACUUUUUGUGGUGCCCUCAGUUCCUUCAAAAUAUGCUUCAUAGGAAAGAUCUCAAUUGCCGUUGAUUUAUUACAUGGUUUGUCUGUUCCAGCAAUUCCCUGUGAAAUGUUCAUUGUUUGUCUGCUAUUGACUAAAAGCCGGGCCUGCAAAUCGAAAUGUGACCCUACUGCACUGGCUGCCGGAGCAAAGAUGGAAAAUUUCACAUGUAUCCUGCGCUUGCAAGAAUAAUCAAGAAAAAAAAAGGGAGAGAAUGGAAUCGAUGAUCCAGUUAUUGUCCAUCUAUCACUUUGACUGAGGUUAUACAACAGGCCAAUUUACUCAUCCAUGUCAGGAACCAAGCCAAUAAUACAACAAUGCUUCUGCUGUCGCUACUCAACUCACCACCUGACUCCAACUCCAAACCACUUCGUUUCUGCAAAAUCUACAAAUCUUUCAUGCCUGAUGAUGCUUGGGAGAACAUGGCAGCAGGUGGGUCUGGAGAGCAGAGCCCAUGUGGAAAUCAUAUGAAGAUUUCAACUUUUGGGUCUGCUUCUGAUCAAUCAUUUGAAGUUUGAUCACGAGACCCUGUGCUGAUCCAGUCGUGGUCAAAUCUUGGACGGGUGAAAGAACAGUAAUCUAAUAAUUUUCCAGUUCAGAAUUCUUUUUUUUUAUAAAAAUAGUAAGUCAUCUGAAUUCUCUUAAUUAAUAAGCUUUGGUGUGUGUUGAUGAUUGAUAGUUUUCUAAGAGGAACGAAGUGGUCUCGAAUACUUCACCAUUUUGAAGCACAUGAAGAACGCUGCUUGACCACAUGAAAAUGGCUAAUAAUCAUCAGUUUCAAUGCAGAAUUUGUUGAUAUAUUUAAUAAGAUUCCCAGACAAGUUGGUGAUAUUACACAUGAUAUCAUGAGAUCCAGUUAUGAUUAAUUAUGCAUGUUUAUUGAAUAUCAAAAACAUUUUAAUUUAUGCAG